AGUGUUGAAUUUCUCUUUCCCCUAUCCCAAGAACAAGAAGAAGAGCAUAAAAAUUUAUUUUAUGUUUCUACCCGUUAGUCUAGCAUCAGCAUCCAGUAGGGGUGAGGCAGGAGUAAGGAAAAACAUUUACUAUAAAUGUUACCUUUUUCUGAAAUUGAGGAAGGGUACUCUCACCACCUUGCCUUCUAAGUAUUUUUUAACCUAUAGUUUCUAAGGGAGGAUGUAAUCUGUUCUGUUUCUCUGUUUCUCAUUAGCAUUAUUGCAAUGUUAUACAUUGAACACUCUGUAGAGGGUUUUACAUAGUCUCAUUUGUAGUUAUCUUUUUUCAAAAAUUACUAUUUCAGGCCAUUGAUUGUGAUUGGUGGUUCCUCUGAAAGAAAUCAAGAAACAAUGGGAGCCUUCCAGGAGUUUCCUCAGGUGGAAGCUUGUAGACUAUAUAGCAAGUUCUCUGUCCGGCCAAGUAGCAUAGAAGCUAUUCCCACUGUUAUUGAAAAGGCAGUAAGAAGCAGUAUCUACGGUCGUCCAGGUGCUUGUUAUGUUGACAUACCUGCAGAUUUUGUGACCCACCAGGUGAAUGUGAAUUCUGUAAAGUGAGUAAAAAAAAAAAAAAAUUUUUUUUUUUUUUUUUGGUACCAGGGGUUGAAGUA